rnacentral:rRNA from 1 species
CAGUCGCCGCGGUAAUACGAAGGGUGCAAGCGUUAAUCGGAAUUACUGGGCGUAAAGCGUGCGUAGGCGGUUUGUUAAGUCUGUUGUGAAAUCCCCGGGCUCAACCUGGGAAUGGCAAUGGAUACUGGCAAGCUAGAGUGUGUCAGAGGAUGGUGGAAUUCCCGGUGUAGCGGUGAAAUGCGUAGAGAUCGGGAGGAACAUCAGUGGCGAAGGCGGCCAUUUGGGACAACACUGACGCUGAGGCACGAAAGCGUGGGGAGCAAACAGGAUUAGAUACCCCCGUAGUCCCUGUCUCUUAUAC